rnacentral:misc_RNA from 1 species
GCAAACUUGGUCAUUUAGAGGAAGUAAAAGUCGUAACAAGGUUUCCGUAGGUGAACCUGCGGAAGGAUCAUUACUGAGUUAGGGAUUUCGGUCCCGAAUCUCCCAACCAUGUGUUUAAUUGACCUAUGUUGCUUCGGCGAGUCGGACGCUGUUUCCUUCGUGGGAACGGUCGACCGCCGGAGGGAAUUUUGAUUCCCUCUGGAGAGUACUCGUCAGGAAGCCCAAUUUAAAUUCUAUGAGAAAGAAUCGUGUCGUCUAAGAAAAUGAUUCGAAUAUCGAAUCCAAAAUAAAACAAAACUUUCAACAACGGAUCUCUUGGUUCUGGCAUCGAUGAAGAACGCAGC